GCCAGUGUGGUGUAGUGGUUUGAGCAUUAGACUAUGACCCUGGAGUCCAGGGUUCAAAUCCCCAUUCACC
rnacentral:tRNA from 1 species